rnacentral:rRNA from 1 species
CAGUCGCCGCGAGAACACCGAGGGUGCAAGCGUUAAUCGGAAUUACUGGGCGUAAAGCGCGCGUAGGUGGUUUGUUAAGUUGGAUGUGAAAUCCCCGGGCUCAACCUGGGAACUGCAUCCAAAACUGGCAAGCUAGAGUAUGGUAGAGGGUGGUGGAAUUUCCUGUGUAGCGGUGAAAUGCGUAGAUAUAGGAAGGAACACCAGUGGCGAAGGCGACCACCUGGACUGAUACUGACACUGAGGUGCGAAAGCGUGGGGAGCAAACAGGAUUAGAUACCCCGGUAGUCCCUGUCUCUUAUAC